AAUCUUCCACAAUCGGCGAAAGCCUGAUGGAGCAACGCCGCGUGAGUGACGAAGGUUUUCGGAUCGUAAAACUCUGUGGUUAGGGAAGAACAAGUAUAGUAGUAACUGGCUGUACAUUGACGGUACCUUAUUAGAAAGCAACGGCUAACUACGUUCCAGCAGCCGCGGUAAUACGUAGGUGGCAAGCGUUGUCCGGAAUUAUUGGGCGUAAAGCGCGCGCAGGCGGUCCUUUAAGUCUGAUGUGAAAGCCCACGGCUCAACCGUGGAGGGUCAUUGGAAACUGGGGGACUUGAGUGCAGAAGAGGAAAGUGGAAUUCCAAGUGUAGCGGUGAAAUGCGUAGAGAUUUGGAGGAACACCAGUGGCGAAGGCGACUUUCUGGUCUGUAACUGACGCUGAGACGCGAAAGCGUGGGGAGCAAACAGG
rnacentral:rRNA from 1 species